UGAGUAACACGUGGGUGAUCUGCCCUGCACUUUGGGAUAAGCCUGGGAAACUGGGUCUAAUACCGAAUAGGACCGCGCUCUUCAUGGGGUGUGGUGGAAAGCUUUUGCGGUGUGGGAUGGGCCCGCGGCCUAUCAGCUUGUUGGUGGGGUAAUGGCCUACCAAGGCGACGACGGGUAGCCGGCCUGAGAGGGUGACCGGCCACACUGGGACUGAGAUACGGCCCAGACUCCUACGGGAGGCAGCAGUGGGGAAUAUUGCACAAUGGGCGCAAGCCUGAUGCAGCGACGCCGCGUGAGGGAUGACGGCCUUCGGGUUGUAAACCUCUUUCAAUAGGGACGAAGCGCAAGUGACGGUACCUAUAGAAGAAGGACCGGCCAACUACGUGCCAGCAGCCGCGGUAAUACGUAGGGUCCGAGCGUUGUCCGGAAUUACUGGGCGUAAAGAGCUCGUAGGUGGUUUGUCGCGUUGUUCGUGAAAACUCACAGCUUAACUGUGGGCGUGCGGGCGAUACGGGCAGACUAGAGUACUGCAGGGGAGACUGGAAUUCCUGGUGUAGCGGUGGAAUGCGCAGAUAUCAGGAGGAACACCGGUGGCGAAGGCGGGUCUCUGGGCAGUAACUGACGCUGAGGAGCGAAAGCGUGGGGAGCGAACAGGAUUAGAUACCCUGGUAGUCCACGCCGUAAACGGUGGGUACUAGGUGUGGGUUUCCUUCCUUGGGAUCCGUGCCGUAGCUAACGCAUUAAGUACCCCGCCNNGGGGAGUACGGGCCGCAAGGCUAAAACUCAAAGGGAAUUGACGGGGGGCCCGCACAA
rnacentral:rRNA from 1 species